CUUAUUCUGUAAGCGAGCAAUUCCACUUCUGGAUAUGUGGAUGAAUUAUUGCAUUUGAAUACAGGAGAUAUGUAUAAGAAUGUUUAUUGUAACAUAAUUUAUAAUCAUGAAGGGUUGAGGACAAACCAAAUGUCUAUAAAUUGGAUAAACUAUAUGGUACCAGUUAUAAUGCAUGGACUCUGCCACCAUAUUUAUCUUUCUAUAUUAGUGUAGAAAUAUCUCAAAAGCAAAAUAGAGAAUGAAAAUGAAAAAUGAACAUCACUAAGUAUGGUGUCAUAUCGGACUACAGGCACCUGCUACCACGCCCGGAUUUUUUUUUUUUUUUUUCAGUAGAGACGGGGAUUGGGAUUCAUCAUAUUGGCCAGGCUAGUCUUGAACUCCUGACCUUGUGAUCUGUCUACCUCAGCCUCCCACAGUGCUGGGAUUACAGGCAUGAGACACCAUGCCCAGCCGACCUAUUAUUCUGUAUGUUCUUUUGAGCACUCCUCCUGUCUUUAUGGAACUCCAGUGACUAUAUAAUGAGGCUUUUGAGCCUGGCUGGUGGAAACAGGCACCAUUCCCAACUCUAUGUAAGCACCAAGUACUGUGUAAGCCAAGACAAUAUAAUCGAGAUGCGUCAUUUUGCUGCUUCAGCCACAUCCUUUAGUGAAGAACUAAAUAGAAUUUUCGGGCACUGACUGUCAGGCUAUGACCAUUUUGUGUCCUUCUCUUUGCUGUUCUCAUGAAAGUACAUUCCAGAAUAAUCUCAACUCAACAAGUAGACACUUAGGAUUUAUGUUACAUAUCAUUUCUAACGAUUUAGGCUGAAAUUUGGG
rnacentral:lncRNA from 1 species